GUGGGGACAGCUAAGAGGAUGACAGAGAAAGGAAGGUAGAAGCAGAAGAAGUGAAUCAUCCAAGUACAUGAGGUAGAAACAGCACAGAAGAAAAGGAAGAGGUCACAGGUGCUCCAGAGGCAGGCAGAGGAAAAGGGAAUGCUUUCCCAAUACUGCACAGUGCUCCUACUUCUGAGAGCUGCUUGACCUGUGCUCAAAGUCUAUCACAUAACGACACCUUAAUGUAGAAAUGACUCCACGAGGCGAAGGUGAAGGCAUCGAGUGCUUCCAAUCUUCCUUCCUCAGCUGGAUUUGAAAUGCGAGGGAACGUAUGUUAAAUACACAUUGUACGUUUUCCCUGCUGCCCUGCGUUCAUCCAAUCAAGAAUUUUCCAAGAGUGCAUAAGUACAAGUUAUGCAGAGCAUUUUAAGAAGCAAAACCUGCCAGCUUUAGGAAGGAGGCAGGGAAGCUGGAAAUUCAACGCUCUGGGAUUUGCCGUGGGCACUGUGGAAAAGCAGGGAUCCUUCCUGCAUCCUUUCUGUUCCUCCUGACUUCAGGCAAUCCACUCCAGCCACGUGUCCAAUAAGCUCCUUGGCACUGGAAAGGUAAUUACUGGCUCCCUGCUCACCUUUGAACAAGACUCAGCAUCGGGAAAAAACAGCAGCGCUACCGUCAUGUUGGACUAAUGGCAAAGUCUCCGUUGGAAUUUAAUCCCUAAGUGUCUCAGGAGAAGCUCAGAACUUCACAACUGUGAACUCCUGGUCAUAUUUUAAGACUCUCAUCCUAAAUAUUCCAAUUCACUCAGAGAAUAAAAGGGAAAUCAUGGAAUCAUAGGAUUGUUAAGGUUGGAAAAGCCCUGUAAGGUCUUCAGGUCCAACCAUCCACUGCUGUGUUCACCACGUCCUCAAGUGCCUUAUCCACACGUUCCUUGGACAAUUCCAGGGACAGGGAGUUCAUCCCUGCCCAGGGCAGCAUGUUCCUGUGAUCCAAAGGCCUCCACCUUUGAUCCCAAGGAGCUCCAAAAGAGCAGCCUCGGAGCAGUGACAGUUGGUGCUUUUUUGUAAGGCUGAUGAAAGUGCAUUGAAACUCACUUUUAUCCAGAACUGAGGAAAAGAGGGUUUGGAGCACAGUGUGGAAUUUUUCUCUCCUGCAGGUUCGCCUGUGAGACUGUGGCUGAUCCAUCCCUGAAAGUGUCCAAGGCCAGGUUGGACACUGGGGCUUGGAGCAGCCUGGGAUAGUAGAAGGUAUCCCUGAAUAUGGCAGGGGGGACACUGGAUGGGCUUCAUUAAGGUCCCUUCCAAACCAAACCAUCCUGGGAUUCCGUGAUUCCCUGUCAGUUGUGUCUGAUGGGCUGUUUGCAGGUGCUGUGUGAGAUUUGAGUGGGACAACAGAGUGCUUCUUUGCCAUUGUCUUUAACUUGUAAGCUCUCAGUGAAAAUUUAAGACUUCUCUGUCUCCAGAGGGAGAGAGAGACUUGGAGAAGAGGAAGAACUGGACAAUGGUCUCAGGGAUGCACAGGGUGGGAUUACUGGGGUGUCUGUGCAGGGCCAGGGGUUGGACUGAAUGAUCCCUGUGGGUGCCUUCCAGCUCAGAAUGUUCUGUGAUUCCAUGAACUGGAGAAGGUGUGGAGAAAGUCUAAAAGAGCUCAGUUGAAGUAAGAGAAAGGAUCUCCUUGCCAAGUGAUACCCACAGCCCUCAAUUAGAGGCACCAAGGAAUCAGGAGGACAAAUGCUCCUCUGAAUCCAGGGAAAGUCUUCAUUUUGUGCUGAAAGACAACAGAAUGAACUCAGUUUUCUGCCUCUGUCUUCCACAGUGAUUCAAACCCUCCUAUUCAGAGAAACAGUGAUCAGCAUUCCUCGGAGACCAGUUGUCUGAGGACACCAGGGAAGCAGAGGGGAGGGAUUUGUGGUUUGGGGUUGUUACUGACAACAAUAACUGCGGGAUUGUGAUGUUAUUCGGGGUGAACACACUCAGUGCUGGGAGUGGGUGGUCUGGGAACUGACACACAGCCAGGGAUUGGUGCUCUUGGUUCAUCUCCUCCGAUACUUUGGGUGCAGAUAGCAAUGAUCAUGGGCAAUUCUUUUUUUUUUUUUCCCCCAAAAAGAUUACUUAGGAAGAAAAAAAAUCUCUUCUCUUACCAGUAGGGUUUAGGACGUGGGGAACUGUACGGAUUUCCUUCUCUAAUCUGUAGGAAUUAGCCCUGACUGACAGGAGCCAGCAUGCAAUUGACUUACAGUCCUCAGCUAACUUGCAGCUCUGUAGAAUUCCAGGAAUAAAAGGCUUCUUGUCCAAAGUGGAAUUCCUAUGAGGAUCCAACCAGAAGGGUCAAUGCCAGAACGGAGGCUGCCGUUUUGUCCUGGGAGAGAAUCCAUGCAGCUCAGCCAAUGACGUCCUCGUUGCUGUAGUAGGGAGUGAAGCCAGGCCAUGGCCGUGGAGCUGUUGGGUUCCUGCCUUGCUGAGCAGUUCUUAACAGAAAAAAAACUCUUUUUAAGGCUGAUUUUUUUCACCUGCUUGUGGACAGUAUCUGCAGGACAGAGGCAGCUGAAUUCUGUCUCUAGGACCAGGCCAUGGCUUUUGGAUGUGGCACUGGGGUGACACUGCCCUGGUACCCAGGAUAGCUCUCACAGCCUCUGCAUCCAGAGGGAGAAAGGACAAGGAAAAUUACAGUUCCUAUGUUUUGUGUGACUGUGACUUCAGUAGUUUCUUGUGCUUGAAGUGCUUGUUUAGGGUUUCAACUUUGUGUGGGUUUAAAAUGGUGGAAAAGGGUUAAGAGCUGCUGAACUUUUACAGCACCAUGUAAAAUGUACCCAUUUACCAAGCACUUUUUAAGCAGUACUUUUUAUAUAUGUGUGUGUAUCUAUAAGAAAAAUGUGUAUUUUUUAUAUUUGUAUUUAUAUGUGUGUGCGCAUUUGCUUUAUGUGCUACAUUCCUCUGCCCCUUUCCAAACACUGAGUGAAUUUUUACAACCCUGCUGCAUCUUUUGGGGUCCCUGGAUCCUCACCCAGUGCCUCUCACUGGGACAUGCUGGUUUUACAAGAACCAGGCAGCCUCAGUAUU